GAUUGAUGGAGCUUGCUCAUAAUAGGAUUUUUUCUAAUUAUGUUUGACACAUUAAGUGUUGCUUAGCAGUGUAUUAUUACUUGUAUUCAAUGAAGCAAUUAGCAUUUAUUUUUCAUUUCAAGUAAAUUUUCCUAAAAGUAUUUUGUAAUAUUUUUCAAAAUUAAUUCACCACCAGGGGGCAAAGAACUAUUUCUCCGGAGGGAACGUUUUUAUAUUGGUUUCAUAGAUGAGUGACCCUUUCAAGGUCCUUUUCUACUUCACAGUAAUUGCAGAUGUGAUUAAAAACAAAAAGUGUGCAGACCUAAAAAUACAUCAGAGGGAUCUUUACCAUUUUUGCCAACUUUGACUGCUCUAAGGUUAAGAUAAUUGUUGGCAGAGAGAGCAAGCUGGAAGACCAGAAGAGGUGCUACAAGAUGGCUGUGGCGUGAGCGCUGCUCUGUGCGCGCGGCUGUUCCACACCUCUGUCAGGAACACGCGGUGCUGUGGCUUGUGCAGAAAGAAAUUACAACCAUCUGGGCAUUAAACCAGGACUUUGAGGCAAACUCAGCCUAUUCUGUCAGCAGAUCCAACUGAGAAUGGAUCAAGUACUCUGGACAUCAAAAACAGGCCAAAACAAGUCAGUGGAGCAGGAGAUGCAUCUGUGACCAUCUGCCCUCUGAAGACCUGACAGGCAACAAAGAGCCCUCUGAAUGCUGUAGCUCCUGGCAGGAAAAGGAAGAAACCUGUCCUUGUAUUUUUCUGAAAUUUAACAUGGAAGAAUGCAGUACAUUGAAACACAAAAGGUAAAAAUUAAUUAGGUUUUCUGCUUAAAAAGACUAACUGUGGGGAUUUCUCAUCUCUGUUUUGAUUUUGAAUAAUUUUUACUUACCCCUUUGAGUACAUAUGUGGUUGUUAGUGUUGUCUAGUUUCUCAGGAGUAUUAAAAAAUGUAACCUAGACCUUUCUACAAUUACAAGCAAGCGAACUU